rnacentral:rRNA from 1 species
CCUACGGGAGGCAGCAGUGGGGAAUCUUCCGCAAUGGGCGAAAGCCUGACGGAGCAACGCCGCGUGAGUGAUGAAGGGUUUCGGCUCGUAAAACUCUGUUAUUAGGGAAGAACAAAUGUGUAAGUAACUGUGCACGUCUUGACGGUACCUAAUCAGAAAGCCACGGCUAACUACGUGCCAGCAGCCGCGGUAAU